GCAAAACGCGAAGAACCUUACCUAGGCUUGAACUCCUACGAAUCCGGGGUAAUGCCUGGAGUGUCCGCAAGGAAAUGUAGUGAGAGGUGCUGCAUGGCUGUCGUCAGCUCGUGUUGUGAAAUGUUGGGUUAAGUCUCGCAACGAGCGCAACCCCUAUCGUCUGUUGCCAGCAUUAAGUUGGGCACUCUGACGAGACUGCCUGGGUUAACCAGGAGGAAGGUAGGGAUGACGUCAAGUCCUCAUGGCCCUUAUGUCUAGGGCUACACACGUAAUACAAUGGCGCGUACAGAGGGAAGCGAACUCGCGAGGGGGAGCAAAUCUCAAAAAGCGCGUCUCAGUCCGGAUUGGAGUCUGCAACUCGACUCCAUGAAGUUGGAAUCGCUAGUAAUCGGAGAUCAGCACGCUCCGGUGAAUACGUUCCCGGGUCUUGUACACACCG
rnacentral:rRNA from 1 species